GGGGCAUCAUGGGAGCGGCGCGGCAUGGCGGAGCCAGCGCCCUGGCAGCCCCGGGGCAUGGCGGGAGGGGGCGCCAUGGCGGGCGGCGACGGGGUCAGAUCCUGAGGGGAGCCCGCUAGAACCAAGCCGAGGGCAGUGGUGUAAAGUAAAUGAACUAAAUAUAAGCUAUGUACGUAAUUUGUGCAGAAAUGCCACUGGAAGGCUGUAUGUGAAAAACAAAGAAAAGUAGGGAAUGGCUCCUUGUGAACUAUAAAGUCCUGUGAUUUACUUUGCAAAGCUGAUGGUGUACAGCGGACCAGACUCCUGGGUGAAACCCAAGCCUUGCUGAAAUCUGCGGGCUCAUCCCAAGCACAGAUUGGACCCCGACUGCAUGAGCUGAGUGAUCUUCUGAAUGAAAACCAAUAGCCGUUUUUCAUCUGGAUGAACCACAGGAGUGAAAGAGUUCAACAAAUGUUAAGAAUUAUUACGUCAAUGAUGUUGUCUUCCUCGGCUGUCUGGGCCAACCUGAGUGGGUGACCAGGGACGAGGGAUUAUGAACUGCUCAUGGCACGCCUAGGAGCCCUUGCUGAAACAUGGAGUCAUGCUCUGCCAAGGGUAUUUGACAGCCUUGCUCUCACGCUAAGUUUCUCAAUCUGUGAGGCACGGCUGGUUGACACAGCGCUACAGAGAGCGUCCCAUCCUGCUCAGAAACACACCGUGAUGAGGUGUGGGGAGCUCGUGUUUGGUUGGAAGCAAGGUGGGGGAUUAUAGAUUGAGAAGGGAUGCACUCGCAGCCAGUGUAGGACAGAACACCUUGCUCCAUCCGGAGCUGUCUCGAGGCACCCAGCACUGUAGGCAGUAUUGAAAUCUGGUGCAUUAAAGGAGAAGGGCCUAGGUCAGAUUGGACUUAGCCUAGAAGGGACCUGGACAAGAAGGAGGAAGAAGGAAUGAGUGAAGGAAAAGAAUGACUCUCUGGAGGAAACUGAAAAUAUGCGCUUCCUUUUCCUGCUGUAGAUAUGGGAGGGGGUGAGACAGCAAGGUUUGCCGCUGAGAAAAGCCGCCCUGCGAGUACUCUUGUCAUCUUACACACCCUGAUGGGCCACGGCAGCAGCACACCCUUCCCUCCAUCCAGCGUGCUUAGAAGAUCAGCUAUGCGGCAGUUUCCUAACUCACCAAGGCUGGGCUUGGGUCAGUCUUUGUGGUCCCUGCGCUUUCCUUCUCCUCAUUUUGAAUUACAAACGGGCAGAUUAUUUUUUAAUAAGUUUGGAUACCAUUUGAG